GACGAACGCUGGCGGCGUGCUUAACACAUGCAAGUCGAACGGAAGGGCCCGCUUUUGGUGGGCUGCUCGAGGGGCAAAGGGGUGUGAAACACGGGAGUAUCCUCCCCUUGACUUUGGGGUACCUUCAGGAACCGGGGACUAACACCGAAUAGGUGCCCCUGAUGCCGGGGGGGGUUUGGAAAUUUCCGGCGGUUGGGGGGGGAUUCGCGGCUAAUCAGCUGGUUGGGGGGGUAGCGGCUUAGCAGGCCUUUGACGGGUGGCCGGCCUGGGGGGGUAGCCGGCCACCAUGGGCCUGAGGUACGGCCCAGACGCCUACGGGAGGCAGCAGUCGGGAAUAUUACACAAUGGGCCGAAGCCUGAUGCGGCAACGCCGCGUGCGGGAUGACGGCCUUCGGGUUGUAAACCGCUUUCGCCUGUGACGAAGCGUGAGUGACGGUAAUGGGUAAAGAAGCACCGGCUAACUACGUG
rnacentral:rRNA from 1 species